ACCUAGAAUGAUUUUCACGAGUGCAAGGGAAGCGCUCUCCUUGCCUGGUGCUUUUUCCUUCCUUCCUCCCUCCAUCCUUCCUUUUUGUGCUUUCCUUGUGCUCUCUGGAACCCCGUCCACGAUGCUGUCCUGUCUCAGCUUCACCUGUCUGCCUGUGGAGACUGCUUAGCUCCAGCAGGUCACCCUAGCGGGCCCACCCCGCCCACCAUGACCCCCGUGACAGCACCCUGUCCCCAGGAAGGUUGCCGCCCGCCACCCGGCUUCACCUGCACACAUCCAGUGUCUCCACUGCACGCCUCCCUGCAGCCUGCCCAGGCCUGGCAGCGCCCACGGCUCCAGCUUCAGCUCUACUGGGAGUCAGCUGGAAGCGGGGUUCUACUGGAGAGAAAGUGAUCUGCAACACACGGGGAGUCAAGCUUCUGAAAAGUCCACCUGCAGAGGCGAUUCGGGCCUGUCAGUCUCCCGGGCCCCCUCACAGAGCCUGGCGCAGGACCACCCAGGCGUCAGCCUCCUGCUGUGCUCCAGCCCACACCAGCCCAGGAACUGCGACACAGUCGGAGCAGCCUGGCUGAGAGUGCAGGCCAGAGGCAUGUAGACCACAGCCGAGAGCGUGGCUGUGCACGGUGAGCCAGAUCCAAACAUUAGUGUCGCCACACGGAGCUCUCCUGUCUUCCUCCACUUCCUUCAAUUUACCCCAUCUGGCAGCACCAGGCUGUAUGCCCACAUCAGAUCAAAAUCCAUUUGCGUCCCCUGGAGGGGAGGGGAGGAGGGGAGCGAGCACUCACUGACCAGGGUGCAUUGCUUCUGGGCACCACUUCCGUUCCCAACCCUGAAGGACAAGCAGGGUGGGGUCCCUGGAUCGCCCUCCCUCUGCAGAGCCUGGAAACACCGAGUGCCUCUGGCUGGUUUCUGUUGCUGUAACUGCUCUUCGGAGCUGGUGACUUAUAAACAACAGAAGCUCAUGUGGCCGGGGUUGGGGGGCGGUGGGGGGGUGCACUGGAGUCCAUGCCUGAGGGCCUGCUCGAGGUUCGGGCCUCUGUGCGGUGCCAGCCUCCGCAGGGGUGGAAGGGCAGGAAGACCUGCAGGGCGAGGCUGCCCUCUCAGCUCCAGCCCAUCGUGGUCAGCAUCGAAGACGUCCUGCCCCAGCUCUCCCACCCACCCUCCCAGCCCAUGCUCUUGGGGACCCGGGACCCCGAAGCGUGCCCCUGAGCCCUGUCCUCGUGGAUUACC